rnacentral:rRNA from 1 species
CCUACGGGGUGCAGCAGUGAGGAAUAUUGGUCAAUGGUCGGGAGACUGAACCAGCCAAGCCGCGUGAGGGAGGAAGGUACAGAGUAUCGUAAACCUCUUUUGUCAGGGAACAAAGACUGGGACGCGUCCCCGGCUGCGUGUACCUGAAGAAAAAGCAUCGGCUAACUCCGUGCCAGCAGCCGCGGUAAUACGGAGGAUGCGAGCGUUAUCCGGAUUUAUUGGGUUUAAAGGGUGCGCAGGCGGUCUGUUAAGUCAGCGGUCAAAGCCCGGGGCUCAACCCCGGCCCGCCGUUGAAACUGGCAGUCUCGAGUUGGAGAGAAGUAUGCGGAAUGCGUGGUGUAGCGGUGAAAUGCAUAGAUAUCACGCAGAACCCCGAUUGCGAAGGCAGCAUACCGGCGCCCUACUGACGCUGAGGCACGAAAGUGCGGGCAUCGAACAGGAUUAGAUACCCGAGUAGUC